rnacentral:rRNA from 1 species
UACAGAGGUCCCGAGCGUUGUUCGGAUUCACUGGGCGUAAAGGGCGCGUAGGCGCCUGGCAAGUGGAUGGUGAAAUCCCUCGGCUUAACCGAGGAACUGCCAUCCAGACUGCUUGGCUUGAGACCGGGAGAGGUGAGUGGAAUUCCCAGUGUAGCGGUGAAAUGCGUAGAUAUUGGGAGGAACACCAGUGGCGAAGGCGGCUCACUGGACCGGUACUGACGCUGAGGCGCGAAAGCGUGGGGAGCAAACGGG